CACCGCCGAGUUCAGUCCUCUUGAACUUUGCUGCCCCUGAGAAAUCGCAGUAGGAGAACGAUUAUAAGGAGAACUGUAGUUAAACUUAACCGAGCGUUUAUACCGUGCUGGACAUGGUUCUAACUCAGUGCUGUGGCGAGACACAUUGUCCCAGAACUUAUAGUUUAGAUUGUAAUGCCUGGAAUCAAUGGUGGAAUGCUUUGGUUUGAAACUGUUUGUACUGAAACUGCUUUUAUUGCUAAUAGCGUGACUUAGCCUCUGGGAAAAUUGGGCUUUGCUUGCCAAGCAUAUUGUGAACAGGAAAGUUCUGAGUUCCAGGUGGCCGACCCGAGAUAUUAAGAUUAGCACGAACAUCCUGUUUACCCUGGGGUAUAAAACAGCACCUGUGUGAAGGCUCGGGGUCUCACCCUUCUUUUGGGAGAGGCCCCGAUCGAUCGGUUUGUGUUUCUGUGCUUAAUAAACGCCUAUUACUAAUAUAAUUUUGAUCUACACUGGCUCUUGGUGUUCUUCCUUGGUGCUGGUUCCUCUCCGGGGGAGUUCGCAGGUGUGUGCGGGACCGCAACAGUGCCCCAUGUCAGCCCCGCACGCGGCGUAUACUCUAGUUGAAUUCCCCUUUUCUUCAGCGAGGUAAGGCGCCUGGCGCCUUGGAAAGUCCCCAAGAAACGCUGAGAAACUAGCGGUCAGCGGCCGAGAACUUCGGGGUUGGAGGAAGGAACGGUGCUGCAGCCUACUGGACACCCACUGGGUGCAAAUUCGCGUUGUGUCAGGAAAACGGCGGCCUGUUUCGCUCCUAGCGAAAACGCCAACGGAGCGCCAGACGGGCGCGAAUCACGGUGCCGCGACGCUGAACCGGCUGGCCACGAACGGAGCGGUGCUAGGACCGAGAAGGCGACAGCAUAGGACCCAGGCCCACGCGAGGGAGAAGAGUUCCCUUUGGUGCCUUGAGGGUGGCGGCCAAAGUGAAAGCGCCCGCUCGGCGCUGCUGGCGAAAGUGCGGCUGAGAAAACGCGGACUGGGCGUCAGGAGCCGGGCCCCGCGCAGCACCCGCGGCGAGCGGAACUGGGCGCUAGCGCGGCCGAGACCCAGCGGCUCUCCUCCGCUCCCGGGUGCAGGCGGCCCAGGGAGCUGCCGCUGAGCGCAGACACACUCAGGAACUCGGUAGAAAACUACAUGUAAAUUAAAAUACUACAAAUGCAUAAGAAAUCCUAAAAUGAAGAUACAUGUGAAAACAAAACAACACAGCAAAACACCAGAAAAGAAUUUUUACAAGCCAAUCGUUCAGAGAAACUAGCCCUACGAGAAACAAACAGCAAAACACCGUUGAAAGGGGCAGUCCUAGGAUUAGAUGAUCGCUGUCACUCUCGCUAAAUCGGUGUUUGCCACGCUCCAAAGCGCAUUCCCAGGCACACUCCGACUAGCAUGAGUGAAAUGUGCAGCAUAGCUAAUGCGGAACUCGCUGUUUGAAAAUGGCUCAAAGCAAUUGCGUUGCUGCCAGCCACCCGCUGCGAGGCAUGGGGAAGGCCGCGGGGCUGCGACCCUGAGAAAGCUCCGGCUGCACUCUAGUGGAAACUACUUCUGAGAAAACGCCGGCCUAGUGCACUUGCCGGGACCGCGACCGACCAAACACUGACACAGAGCGCCUAAGGGUGCCGGGGCCCAGCAAGGGAGGCACAGCGCAGAUAGCGGCGUUGUGGCCAAAGUCAAAGGUCCGUUUUGGCGCUUUCGAGGGUGCUGCCACCUAGAAACUGCGGACACUGAGAACUGAGCCGUGCUCACACCGAGAAAGAUGGGAGUUGCAGGUGAUAAGAUGAGGUGAAUGAAGUGGGGUGAAAUGAAAUAAAAUAGAAACCAGGUUUGAAACCCCCCCCCAACAAACAAAACCGAAUAAGCCACGUAAACAAAACUAAAUCGAGUUUAUUUCAAAACAUAAGGGUAAUUUAACUCAAGCUAUUUCUUGUAAAUACCUUUGAAAAUCAUUUAAAAACCAAAACAAAAAACCCUUGUCUUCCUGUAACGGAAUAAGAUAAUCACUUUAACCAAUCCCCUGACCUCUGGAAACCUCCAUUGUAUUUAAUAGCCAAUCAUUGUAAAGGUCAAACAACUUCCUCUUGUUUAUUUUAUAAGCUUCCCGGAGAUGUCAAGCCUUAGAGCUUCAUACGAGUUUUCAGUUUGAAAUCUUCAUUUUUGCGAACAGUUUGUUUCUUCCUCAAUAUCCAGUAAAACUCUGAGUUUUCUUUUAGUUAUUGUCGUUAAAAGUAGGAUGGAAAGACGACCCAUUAAGAAUCCGGAGGCUGGAGGUGGGUCAAAAAGGAUCUUGCUGUGAAAACUACAAAUAGAACUACCAUAUGACCCAGCAAUCCCACUACUGGGCGUAUACCCUGAGAAAACCAUAAUUCAAAAAGAGUCAUGUACCACAAUGUUCAUUGCAGCUCUAUUUACAAUAGCCAGGAGAUGGAAACAACCUAAGUGUCCAUCAUCGGAUGAAUGGAUAAAGAAGAUGUGGCACAUAUAUACAAUGGAAUAUUACUCACCCAUAAAAAGAAACGAAAUUGAGCUAAUUGUAAUGAGGUGGAUGGACCUAGAGUCUGUCAUACAGAGUGAAGUAAGUCAGAAAGAGAAAGACAAAUACCAUAUGCUAAACCAUAUAUAUGGAAUUUAAGAAAAAAAAUGUCACAAAGAACCUAGGGGUAAGACAGGAAUAGACACAGACCUACUAGAGAAUGGACUUGAGGAUAUGAGGAGGGGGAAGGGUAAGCUGUGACAAAGUGAGAGAGUGGCAUGGACAUAUAUACACUACCAAACGUAAAAUAGAUAGCUAGUGGGAAGCAGCCGCAUAGCACAGGGAGAUCAGCUCCGUGCUCUGUGACCACCCAGAGGGGUGGGAUAGGGAGGGUGGGAGGGAGGGAGAUACAAGAGGGAAGAUAUAUAGGAACAUAUGUAUAUGUAUAACUGAUUCACUUUGCUAUACAGCAGAAACUAACACACCAUUGUAAAGCAAUUAUACUCCAAUAAAGAUGUUAAAAAAAAAAACAAAAACCUUUUGGUGUCUUUGACAAAUUUCCUCAAAUCAAAUUCUAAAUGUUCUUUUGACCUCUAGUUAACUUCGGAAUGUUUCAGAGGGUCCCUGAACACCUCAAAGAGAGAUAUUAAAUUAAUUAGCCUUUUUUGGUAUGUUAAAUUACAUGGGAAAUAUUGUCAAAUAAGUAAUGAUAAACCUUCUUAGAAGGUUCUAAUGUUCUAGAAAUUAUAUGAACUCCCUAAAAUUUGAAAUGUUGUGGUAUGUUCUCAGUCAUAUUUCUAGUUAUUAUUUUAAAGUGUUGUAUGUCACAGAAAUAGCCAAAUUUCCUUAACAACUGCAUUGUAAUCAGGUCUUUAACCAUGUUUUUUAAGUGUUUUGUCAUUUAUAGAGUUGUCUUACUUUGAUGCUUUUACAAAAAUGUUUGUAGAUGACUUGCUUUUAUGCUCUGAAACUAAAUUUGAUUCCGUAGCAAAAGGACUUCCACCUUGUAUGGGGGCUAUUUCACUCUUACAUAAGACUAUUGAAGAAAUAGCAAUGGGGGUGUUCUUUAUUUAUGCUCCACACUCAGUUGAGUCCUUCUAAACUCUCACCACACUCAGCACUUCUGUAAACCGACUAGUUUCUUAUGAAGUAUUGUUGCUUUCUGUAAUAACCUUAAGCCUGCAACUUUGCUUCCAGAACUACAGGAAGAAGACAAUCACGACUGCAUUUAUUAACAGAUUAUCUUCUUGUUCCUGGGAAUGACAAGAAGCUCCUAUUGAUAAGGCUAAUCUAAUUUGAUUUACAGAUGGGUUCUACUUAAAGGAUAAGCAGGGGCAUUAUAGAGUUGGAUAUGCAAUAACAUUCACAGUGAACAUAAGUGAAAGCUCUUAUUUACCAGAAAAAGUCAGCACAACAAGCUGAAUUAAUUGCCCUAACCUUAGCUUUUCAACUUGCUAAAGACCAGCUAGCAAAUAUUUAUACUGACAGUUGCAAUGCCUUCUGGAGUGGCACACAACUUUGGAAUGCUAUGGGAACAAUGAGGUUUUUAACCUCUUCAGGACAACCUAAAAAAUGAAAAACAGAUUGCAAUUAUUAACUGCUAUACAACUGCCAAAAAACCAGUUAGCAAUUAUUGACACCAGGACAUUCCAAACCGACACUAUGGAAGCUAAAGGAAAUCAGCUUGCUGAUGCUGCAGCCAAACACGCAGCUUUAAAUACUCACGCCAUAAAGCCUUGAAAUUUUCUGUCCACUGCUCUCUGUUAACCGUGCUAAUCCAGUAAAAGAUGUCAUCUAUAAGCUCAAGAAAUUGCUACUAAAGAAGACAAACAGAUACGGUAACAAAAACGGGGAAUUUUGACCCCACCACACAAAUAUGGUUUGGACCUAAUUUUUUUUAAAGAAAAAGCUGUAAGCGUCUGUUGGAGCACGAUUGUCUAUCAGCCUUUGCCAGGCAUUCUACUAGCAUAACUCCUAAAAAGGAAAGAAAGAACUGGGGUAAUAAGACUGAGGGACAUGAUGGAUCCAGAGCAAAUAAGCAAAGACCCUGUUAUUGGGGGAACAAAUAUUUGAUCACCUAAUGCUAUCUAAAGAUUAAUGAUCAAAAGGGGAAAGUGAAAAAGGAAAUUAUAUUUUAAGACAGGUAAAGAAAAGUUAAGCAUAAAAUUCUCUCUUCUCUCUUCACUUGAGCCUCCUCCCUCCCUAAUGCAUCUGCAUCACAUAUUAACCAGACCUCCUCAAAGAUGGGAAUGCCUGCUGCUCCACAGCAAAAUUUGUUCCUUUCUUCCGAUGCUAGCAAUGUGACUUCUUAAAGAUUAGCAUUCUUUCCAACUCUGUAGGUGGUCAUUGAGACUUACUGCUCAAUUCGUUUGUGUUUACCUAGACUGUGUAUCUUUGGUAGACUUUAUGUAAAACGUCAGUAUGUCAUUUUGAUGAAGGAUCCUUGGUUUCAAAAAUGUAAAUGACUGUGUCUUUGCUAACAGUAGGACCAGUUAUCAGAGCUUCAGACAGCCUGUCUCCCACGUUAUGAUCCUCAGUUUGACUCAAAUAAAAUUGCCUUUUUUCUUCUUAACUUAAUUGUUAACUGAAUUUUCAUCAACAAUUGUAAUUAUUGUGGCCACUUCGGGGAACUUUUACAUGAGACCACUUUCAGGGUUCCCAGAAAAACAGAGAGAAUCCCAAAAACUCUGGAGGCAAUAGAAUUCAUUCUUUCAUUUGUAUGCAGAAGCUACUAAAAGACAAAAUGAUUCCAUAAAUAGCUUCACUAAAAGAAUCUUUAUAAUGGAAAAAAAAAACAUUAGUAGAAAGCUUUAGCCAUCUAAACGGGUAACAUCAACUUAAUGCAUCUCCCAGCAUCACAGUUUUGAAUCAGCUAAUCUUUUGAGUUUUGUAUUAUUGCACCUGACACAUAGUUAAAAAUUUAAAAUAAAAUCUACAAUAUCUACAAAUCUACAAUCUGUGUAUGUCUAUUUGUGUAAAUCUGUUACUGUGUAUCUAAAGGUUUAUGUAUAUGUAAGUAUGUAUGUUAUGUAUGUGUGAUAUGUUUAAAGAUCUCUAAUUGGCAAAAGAAAAAUAAGUAAUUAUAUAAAUUAUGUCAUGAACUCUCAGAAUUAUAGAAAC